rnacentral:misc_RNA from 1 species
GAUGAAGAACGUAGCGAAAUGCGAUAAGUAAUGUGAAUUGCAGAAUUCAGUGAAUCAUCGAAUCUUUGAACGCACAUUGCGCCCUCUGGUAUUCCGGGGGGCAUGCCUGUUCGAGCGUCAUUACAACCCUCAAGCUUUGCUUGGUAUUGGACAUUGCCAGUUUCUGGCAGGUCUUAAAAUCAGUGGUGGUGCCAUUUGGCUUCAAGCGUAGUAAUUCUUCUCGCUUUGGAGAUCCAAGUGGUUACUUGCCAAUAACCCCCAAUUUUUUCAGGUUGACCUCGGAUCAGGUAGGGAUACCCGCUGAACUUAAGCAUAUCAAUAAGCGGAGGA